UAUGGGCCACAGAUGGAUGCCUCAGCUCACUGGAGAGAUGUGUCCUGUAAUGCAUGCUGCUUGUUCACAGCUGAUCCCGAAAGAAGCUGACAUAAGGGCAUCAAGGAGCAUAAUUUUCCAGAAAUGCACUCCCUGCAUUUCUGACUGAAAGGGUAUGUGCAGAGUGGUUCACUGUGGCAGAGACUGAAGUGUUUGAGAGGUUUGUACUCCAGCCUGCUAUUAACUAUUGGUAGCACUGACUGCAGGGCUGCAGGCAGCGCAUGCUUUUAGCUUGAAUUUUCACUUCUUCAUUCUGGAAGGAAGAAUGGGAGAAAUGUUCUGGGUGCAAAUUCCGUGUGUGUCUCACGCCAUCUGCUAAUAGCAUGUGUGAGCUGCUCUACUGCCAGAAACCAGGAACAAAGAUAACAUCACUGCAGAGAGAACUGCCCUGCUCCCAAGUGAGGCUCGUACUGCAGGUAACCCGAUCGCUCCGCACCCACUGGGGCCGAGCCUAGGGCAGUCCUGUUCACCUGACACUUGCAUAAACCUAGGACGGUGUCACUCAAACCAGUGUGGGACCUUAGAUGCAAAGCUGUUCCUGCUGAGCCCAGCAGAUAAAUAAAGUUCAUAAUCCAUUCAAUACGAUGGCCCUGUUGGAAUCCCAGAGAUGAAGUUAUUCGGGAGGAGGAAGUACAAAAGCCAAAGAAGCCUCCCCAUCUAAACCCUGUUCAGGCAACUUGCAGACGAGGCAGGGAGUACAGUCUGCAGUGGAACACUGAGGAAACUGUCACAGAAGCUACCGCUGGUCCUGAGCACAUUCACCAGAGUCUUGAGAGUCUGCUGUGCCACAGCUGGAUGCUCAUCCAUCUGAGAACCAGGCUUUUCUCUGCCUUUCCACAGCCUGCAAUGCAGUCAGGAAGCAAAGGAUACUAAGGGAUGUUAGCAGCUGCCAAACUGCCAGAGUUACCACAAGGCCUGACGACACGCUGCUGCUGCACCAGGCAGGACGGGACGGCGGGCUUGUCUGCACUGCUGGAAAGCAAGCAGCCAGGAACGGGCAUGCACAAGCAACCUGCAGAGCUCGGUGACCACAUUUCUUUGGUGUCUGCUGCCCAGCUGGAAAAGAGGUGUGCCUCUCAGAGUGUGCAGCCCUGAGGACCACAGAGGGAGGUGGGAGCAGCACCGUGGAAGGCAGAUGGAACUUGACGAUGUUGGCAAUACGUCUCCAUGCAAAAAAACAAAGGUGUGUUUAUAAAGGCAUGUGCCAGGUUAAAGAGACAAAUGCUGUAUCAUACAGAGGUUUACAUUAAAGAGAGGAAUUACUUCA
rnacentral:lncRNA from 7 species